UACGUAGGGUGCGAGCGUUAAUCGGAAUUACUGGGCGUAAAGCGUGCGCAGGCGGUUCGUUAAGUCAGAUGUGAAAGCCCCGGGCUCAACCUGGGAACUGCAUUUGAAACUGGCGGGCUUGAGUAUGGCAGAGGGGGGUGGAAUUCCGCGUGUAGCAGUGAAAUGCGUAGAGAUGCGGAGAACACCGAUGGCGAAGGCAGCCCCCUGGGCCAAUACUGACGCUCAGGCACGAAAGCGUGGGGAGCAAACAGG
rnacentral:rRNA from 1 species